rnacentral:piRNA from 1 species
UGAUGUACGUCUCAAGUGUAGGACUCCC